ACACUGGUAGUGUAGUGGUCAUCACCAGGCGUUGCCAACGCUUGAACCCGGGUUCGAGUCCCGGCCAGUGUA
rnacentral:tRNA from 1 species